GGGGCUCCCUGGGAAAGAUGGAAUUCCCGGACUGCCAGGUCGACCUGGGCGAGUGGGGCCCCCUGGCUCCCUUGGGCUCAUGGGGCUCCCUGGUAUCCAAGGUGAUCUCGGACCUCUUGGAUAUCCAGGGCCAGCGGGGCCAAAAGGAGACAGAG